rnacentral:rRNA from 1 species
UACGUAUGGAGCAAGCGUUAUCCGGAAUUACUGGGUGUAAAGGGAGCGUAGACGGAAGAGCAAGUCUGAUGUGAAAUGCGGGGGCUCAACCCCUGGACUGCAUUGGAAACUGUCCUUCUUGAGUGCCGGAGAGGUAAGCGGAAUUCCUAGUGUAGCGGUGAAAUGCGUAGAUAUUAGGAGGAACACCAGUGGCGAAGGCGGCUUACUGGACGGUAACUGACGUUGAGGCUCGAAAGCGUGGGGAGCAA